rnacentral:rRNA from 1 species
AAAGUUCGACGGGGCCCGCACAAGCGGUGGAGCAGUGUAGGUUAUUCGACGCAACGCGAAGAACCUUACCAGGGCUUGACACUCCCUGACCGCGUAUGAAAGUACGUUUUCACCCUCGGGUGACAGGGAGACAGGUGGUGCAUGGUUGUCGUCAGCUCGUGUCGUGAGAUGUUGGGUUAAGUCCCGCAACGAGCGCAACCCCUACGUUUAGUUGCUAACGCGUGAAGGCGAGCACUCUAGACGAACUGCCGUUGACAAAACGGAGGAAGGUGGGAUGACGUCAAAUCAUCAUGCCCCUUAUGUUCUGGGCUACACACGUGCUACAAUGGCCGGUACAGACGGACGCAAAGCCGCGAGGUGGAGCAAAUCCUAAAAAGCCGGUCUCAGUUCGGAUUGCAGGCUGCAAUUCGCCUGCAUGAAGUCGGAAUCGCUAGUAAUCGCAGGUCAGCAUACUGCGGUGAAUACGUUCCCGGGCCUU